UAAUACGAAGGGACCUAGCGUAGUUCGGAAUUACUGGGCUUAAAGAGCUCGUAGGUGGUUAGAAAAGUUGGUGGUGAAAUCCCAAGGCUUAACCUUGGAACUGCUACCAAAACUUUUUGACUAGAGUAUGAUAGAGGAAAGUGGAAUUUCUAGUGUAGAGGUGAAAUUCGUAGAUAUUAGAAAGAACACCAAUUGCGAAGGCAACUUUCUGGAUCAUUACUGACACAGAGGAGCGAAAGCAUGGGUAGCGAAGAGGAUUAGAUACCCUCGUAGUCCAUGCCGUAAACGGUGUGUGCUAGACGUUGGAAACUUAGUUUUCAGUGUCGCAGCAAAAGCGUUAAGCACACCGCCUGGGGAGUACGACCGCAAGGUUA
rnacentral:rRNA from 1 species